rnacentral:rRNA from 1 species
UGAGGAAGAUAAUGACGGUACUCAACAAGGAAGUGACGGCUAACUACGUGCCAGCAGCCGCGGUAAAACGUAGGUCACAAGCGUUGUCCGGAAUUACUGGGUGUAAAGGGAGCGCAGGCGGGAAGACAAGUUGGAAGUGAAAUCCAUGGGCUCAACCCAUGAACUGCUUUCAAAACUGUUUUUCUUGAGUAGUGCAGAGGUAGGCGGAAUUCCCGGUGUAGCGGUGGAAUGCGUAGAUAUCGGGAGGAACACCAGUGGCGAAGGCGGCCUACUGGGCACCAACUGACGCUGAGGCUCGAAAGUGUGGGUAGCAAACAGGAUUAGAUACCCUGGUAGUCCACACUGUAAACGAUGAUUACUAGGUGUUGGAGGAUUGACCCCUUCAGUGCCGCAGUUAACACAAUAAGUAAUCCACCUGGGGAGUACGACCGCAAGGUUGAAACUCAAAGGAAUUGACGGGGGCCCGCACAAGCAGUGGAGUAUGUGGUUUAAUUCGACGCAACGCGAAGAACCUUACCAAGUCUUGACAUCCUGCGACGCACAUAGAAAUAUGUGUUUCCUUCGGGACGCAGAGACAGGUGGUGCAUGGUUGUCGUCAGCUCGUGUCGUGAGAUGUUGGGUUAAGUCCCGCAACGAGCGCAACCCUUAUGGUCAGUUACUACGCAAGAGGACUCUGGCCGGACUGCCGUUGACAAA